rnacentral:rRNA from 1 species
UACGUAGGGUGCAAGCGUUAAUCGGAAUUACUGGGCGUAAAGCGUGCGCAGGCGGCUUUGCAAGACAGAUGUGAAAUCCCCGGGCUUAACCUGGGAACUGCAUUUGUGACUGCAUGGCUGGAGUGCGGCAGAGGGGGAUGGAAUUCCGCGUGUAGCAGUGAAAUGCGUAGAUAUGCGGAGGAACACCGAUGGCGAAGGCAAUCCCCUGGGCCUGCACUGACGCUCAUGCACGAAAGCGCGGGGAGCAAACAGG